GGAGAUGUAGCUCAGUGGUACAGCACUUGUCUAGUGGGCAUGAGGCUUUGGGUUCAAUUCCUAGCACUGCUG
rnacentral:tRNA from 1 species